rnacentral:lncRNA from 1 species
GUGGAGCGGCCGUUAACCGCCAGCCGCUGCCUUUGUGGCCCCUCCUGCGGUGCCAGGCUGGAGCGGGUGCAGAGCGCCGCAGGCCCCUUCCCUUUUCCCUCACACGGAGACCUGGAGCGCGACAGGGUGGGCUGUUUUGACAGAGCAAAGCCGCCGGACAGUGAAAGCCCGAAACAGGGCUCAAAUAGUAACUGCAAAACAGAAACAAUCCCUGAAGGGCCACCUGCURUGGUUUGGAGAAUAAGUACCGUCACGUGUAGAAAAGACAGGCUACAGAAAGGCCACUCGCUCUGGCGGAAAGAGGCACGUGCAACGAGGUAUGGAAGCUGAAAGCAAAAGUUGAGAGUGUAUCUCCUUCUCCACGUGUUUCUUGUUACUCUUCUCCAGCAGUCAAUCCAGCAGAGGACAAAAUCUUUCUUGAUCUUCAUGUGACACUGUCGUCAGUCUUUGAUUUCCAAGCAGUUUUGAAAUCUCAACAGUGCACAUUCAGUUCUGAAGAUGUAAAGGAAGAACUAGAGUUCAGAAAAUCAGCAGAAUUGCAUAUGAGCUUUUGUCCUACAGAGCUCCUCAGCACUCAUUCUGCAGUGUUUAG